AUGAACGCUAGCUACAGGCUUAACACAUGCAAGUCGAGGGGCAGCAUGGUCUUAGCUUGCUAAGGCCGAUGGCGACCGGCGCACGGGUGAGUAACACGUAUCCAACCUGCCGUCUACUCUUGGACAGCCUUCUGAAAGGAAGAUUAAUACAAGAUGGCAUCAUGAGUCCGCAUGUUCACAUGAUUAAAGGUAUUCCGGUAGACGAUGGGGAUGCGUUCCAUUAGAUAGUAGGCGGGGUAACGGCCCACCUAGUCUUCGAUGGGUAGGGGUUCUGAGAGGAAGGUCCCCCACAUUGGAACUGAGACACGGUCCAAACUCCUACGGGAGGCAGCAGUGAGGAAUAUUGGUCAAUGGGCGAGAGCCUGAACCAGCCAAGUAGCGUGAAGGAUGACUGCCCUAUGGGUUGUAAACUUCUUUUAUAAAGGAAUAAAGUCGGGUAUGGAUACCCGUUUGCAUGUACUUUAUGAAUAAGGAUCGGCUAACUCCGUGCCAGCAGCCGCGGUAAUACGGAGGAUCCGAGCGUUAUCCGGAUUUAUUGGGUUUAAAGGGAGCGUAGAUGGAUGUUUAAGUCAGUUGUGAAAGUUUGCGGCUCAACCGUAAAAUUGCAGUUGAUACUGGAUAUCUUGAGUGCAGUUGAGGCAGGCGGAAUUCGUGGUGUAGCGGUGAAAUGCUUAGAUAUCACGAAGAAUUCCGAUUGCGAAGGCAGCCUGCUAAGCUGCAACUGACAUUGAGGCUCGAAAGUGUGGGUAUCAAACAGGAUUAGAUACCCUGGUAGUCCACACGGUAAACGAUGAAUACUCGCUGUUUGCGAUAUACUGCAAGCGGCCAAGCGAAAGCGUUAAGUAUUCCACCUGGGGAGUACGCCGGCAACGGUGAAACUCAAAGGAAUUGACGGGGGCCCGCACAAGCGGAGGAACAUGUGGUUUAAUUCGAUGAUACGCGAGGAACCUUACCCGGGCUUAAAUUGCAGAUGAAUUACGGUGAAAGCCGUAAGCCGCAAGGCAUCUGUGAAGGUGCUGCAUGGUUGUCGUCAGCUCGUGCCGUGAGGUGUCGGCUUAAGUGCCAUAACGAGCGCAACCCUUGUUGUCAGUUACUAACAGGUUCCGCUGAGGACUCUGACAAGACUGCCAUCGUAAGAUGUGAGGAAGGUGGGGAUGACGUCAAAUCAGCACGGCCCUUACGUCCGGGGCUACACACGUGUUACGAUGGGGGGUACAGAGGGCCGCUACCACGCGAGUGGAUGCCAAUCCCCAAAACCUCUCUCAGUUCGGACUGGAGUCUGCAACCCGACUCCACGAAGCUGGAUUCGCUAGUAAUCGCGCAUCAGCCACGGCGCGGUGAAUACGUUCCCGGGCCUUGUACACACCGCCCGUCAAGCCAUGGGAGCCGGGGGUACCUGAAGUGCGUAACCGCGAGGAGCGCCCUAGGGUAAAACUGGUGACUGGGGCU
rnacentral:rRNA from 1 species